rnacentral:rRNA from 1 species
CAGUCGCCACGGUAAUACGGAGGGUGCAAGCGUUAAUCGGAAUUACUGGGCGUAAAGCGCACGCAGGCGGUCUGACAAGUCAGAUGUGAAAUCCCCGGGCUUAACCUGGGAACUGCAUUUGAGACUGUAUGGCUAGAGUGUGUCAGAGGGGGGUAGAAUUCCACGUGUAGCAGUGAAAUGCGUAGAGAUGUGGAGGAACACCGAUGGCGAAGGCGGCCCCCUGGGCCAAUACUGACGCUCAUGCACGAAAGCGUGGGGAGCAAACUGGAUUAGAGACCCGAGUAGUCCCUGUCUCUUAUAC